GAGGCCCAGUCACAUUUGGACUUCCCCCUAUGAUGCGGCUAGGCUCACUAUCAUCACGGGUAGAGGUGCAGCAUGAUGAGACCCAUGAAGACAAGAUGCAGCAGUGAAGGAGGUGGAGGAAAGACAAUGGGACCAAGAACCAGAGCAGCCUUCUUCUACAUGGACAAAUAUAUUGCAGGAGAAGAGGAGGAUGGGGGGAGAAUAGUGGAGGGGAGUGGAGUCUUCUACAUACACAACCCUCUACACAGCAGUGUCUUAUUUCCUGGAUUACUGACCCACUGAAUGUGGCCCUGGCUCAAAUCACAAGACUUACUUCACUCCAGAGAAUGAGUUUGCUGUUUCCUGUCUUUGGAUGGACCCUCAUCUUAUUGGCUACCGAAAAGGGGUGUGGUCGUUGUGGAGCAAACUAAUGAGAGAGAACAGUGGCAUGAAGACUUUCAGUGCUGUCUCUCCUCAGGUGAGAGGGUCCCCCAGGCCAGUCUUUCCGCCCCACAUUGCAACCUUGCCAUCCCCCAGCCCUGCAUCAUCAGAAAGGGACGAACCAGGACAUGGGAGGAAGGUGUCUUUCUUUGACGAUGUCACUGUCAAUGUGUUGGAUCAGGUGUUGGUUUAGAAUGGGAGGAUGACUUCUCCUUCUUGGACAGCUCUCUCAAAACUAAAAUGGUCGACCACCAUCUUAUUAAAUCAAUUACAUUUUUAUUUGUCACAUGAGCCGAAUACAACGGGUGUAGACCUUACCGUGAAAUGCUUACUUACAAGCCAUUAACCAACCAUGCAGUUCAAGAAAUAGAGUUAAGAAAAUAUUUUCUAAAUAUGCUAGAGUAAAAAAUUGAAUAAAGAGUAACACAAUAAGAUUACAUAACAAUAGCGAUGCUAUUUACAGGGGAUACUGGUACCAAGUCAAUGUGCGGGGGUACAGGUUAGUCAAGGUAAUUUGUACAUGUAGGUAGGUGUUCAGCAGUCUUAUGGCUUGGGGUUAGAAGCUGUUUGGACCUAGACUUGGCACUCCGGUACCGCUUGCCGUGCGGUAGCAGGGAGAACAGUCUAUGACUUGGGUGACUGGAGUCUUUGACAAUUUUUUGGUCCUUCCUCUGACACCUCCCAGGAUAUAGGUCCUGGAUGGCAGGAAUCUUGGCCCCAGUGAAGUAUUGGGCUGUACGCAGUACCCUCUGUAGCGCCUUAUGGUCGGAUGCCGAGCAAUUGCCAAACCAGGUGGUGAUGCAAUCAGUCAGGAUGCUCUCGAUGGUGCAGCUGUAGAACUUUUUGAAGAUCUGGGGACCCAUGCCAAAUCUUUUCAGUCUCCUGAGGGGGAAAAGGUGUUGUCGUGCCCUCUUCACGACUGUCUUGGUGUGUUUGGAUCAUGUUUGAUCCAGGAAUCAUGUUUGUUGGUGAUGUUGACACCAAGAAACUUGAAACUCUCGAUCCGCAUCUUAAUGGGGGCCUGUUUGGCCCGCCGUUUCCUGUAGUCCACGGUCAUCUCCUUUGUCUUGCUCACAUUGAGGGAAAGGUUGUUGUCCUGGCACCACACUGUCAGGUGUCUGACCUCCUCCUUAUAGGCUGUCUCAUCGUUGUCGGUGAUCAGGCACUGUUGUGUCAUCAGCAAACUUAAUGAUGGUGUUGGAGUCGUGCUUGGUCACGCAGUCGUGGGUAAACUGCUUCCAUCACGUGGACUGGGACAUGUUUCGUACUGCGUCAGGCAACAACAUUGACGAAUACGCUGAUUCGGUGUGCGAGUUCAUUAGAACGUGCGUUGAAGAUGUCGUUCCCAUAGCAACGAUUAAAACAUUCCCUAACCAGAAACCGUGGAUUGAUGGCAGCAUUCGCGUGAAACUGAAAGCGCGAACCACUGCUUUUAAUCAGAGCAAGGUGACUGAUAACAUGACUGAAUACUAACAGUGCAGCUAUUCCCUCCGUAAGGCUAUCAAACAAGCUAAGCGUCAGUAUAGAGACAAAGUAGAAUCUCAAUUCAACGGCUCAGACACAAGAGGUAUGUGGCAGGGUCUACAGUCAAUCACGGACUACAAGAAGAAGUCCAGCCCAGUCAUGGACCAGGAUGUCUUGCUCCCAGGCAGACUAAAUAACUUUUUUUGCCCGCUUUGAGGACAAUACAGUGCCACUGACACGGCCUGCAACGGAAACAUGCGGUCUCUCCUUCACUGCAGCCGAGGUGAGUAAAACAUUUAAAUGUUUUAACCCGCACAAGGCUGCAGGCCCAGACGGCAUCCCCAACCGCGCCCUCAGAGCAUGCGCAGACCAGCUGGCUGGUGUGUUUACGGACAUAUUCAAUCAAUCCCUAUACCAGUCUGCUGUUCCCACAUGCUUCAAGAGGGCCACCAUUGUUCCUGUUCCCAAGAAAGCUAAGGUAACUGAGCUAAACGACUACCGCCCCGUAGCACUCACUUCCGUCAUCAUGAAGUGCUUUGAGAGACUAGUCAAGGACCAUAUCACCUCCACCCUACCUGACACCCUAGACCCACUCCAAUUUGCUUACCGCCCAAAUAGGUCCACAGACGACGCAAUCUCAACCACACUGCACACUGCCCUAACCCAUCUGGACAAGAGGAAUACCUAUGUAAUAAUGCUGUUCAUCGAUUACAGCUCAGCAUUUAACAGCAUAGAAGAAAUUCGGCUUGUCACCAAAAGCACUCACAAACUUCUAUAGAUGCACAAUCGAGAGUAUCCUGGCGGUCUGUAUCACCACCUGGUACGGCAACUGCUCCGCCCUCAACCGUAAGGCUCUCCAGAGGGUAGUGAGGUCUGCACAACACAUCACCGGGGGCAAACUACCUGUCCUCCAGGACACCUACACCACCCGAUGUUACAGGAAGGCCACAAAGAUCAUUAAGGCCAACACCCCUUCCGAGCCACUGCCUGUUCACCCUGCUAUCAUCCAGAAGGCGAGGUCAGUACAGGUGCAUCAAAGCUGGGACCGAGAGACUGAAAAACAGCUUCUAUCUCAAGGCCAUCAGACUGUUAAACAGCAACCACUAACAUUGAGUGGCUGCUGCCAACACACUGACUCAACUCCAGCCACUUCAAUAAUGGGAAUUGAUAGGAAAGGAUGUAAAAUAUAUCACUAGCCACUUUAAACAAUGCUACCUAAUAUAAUGUUUACAUACCCUACAUUAUUCAUCUCAUAUGUAUACGUAUAUACUGUACUCUAUCAUCUACUGCAUCCUUAUGUAAUACAUGUAUCACUAGCCACUUUAACUAUGCCACUUUGUUUACAUACUCAUCUCAUAUGUAUAUACUGUACUCGAUACCAUCUACUGUAUCUUGCCUAUGCUGCUCUGCACCAUCCCUCAUUCAUAUCUUUAUGUACAUAUUCUUUAUCCCCUUAUACUGUGUAUAAUAUAUUAGUUUUGGAAUUGUUAGUUAGAUUACUUGUUGGUUAUUACUGCAUUGUCGGAACUGGAAGCACAAGCAUUUCGCUACACUCGCAUUAACAUCUGCUAACCAUGUGUAUGUGACAAAUAAAAUUUGAUUUGAUUUGAUUUGAAAAACAGGGAGUACAGGAUGGGACUAAGCAACCACCCCUGAGAGUGUGGUAGAUACUCAGUGUGGUAGAUGUGUUGAGGAUCAGCGUGGUGGUGUUGAGGAUCAGCGUAGUAGAUGUGUUGUUACCUACCCUUACCACCUGGGGGCAGCCCAUCAGGAAGUCCAGGAUCCAGUUGUAGAGGGAGGUGUUUCGUCCCAGGGUCAUUAGCUUAGUGAUGAGCUUUGUGGGCACUAUGGUGUUGAGCUCUGAGCUGUAGUUAAUGAACAGCAUUCUCACACAGGUGUUCCUUUGUCCAGGUGGGAAACGGCAGUGUGAGUGUGAUUGAGAUUGCGUCAUCUGUGGAUCUGUUUGGUCGGUAUGUGAAUUGGAGUGUUUCUAGGGCUUCCGGCAUGAUGGUGUUGAUGUGAGCCUGCUUGAAAUAUGUAGGUAUUACAGACUCGGUCAGGAAGAGGUUGAAAAUGUCAGUGGAGACACCAGUUGGUCCGCGCAUGCUCUGAGUACAGGUCCUGGUAAUCCAUCUGGCCUUGCGGCCUUGUGAAUGUUGACCUGUUUAAAGGUCUUGCUUACAUCGGCUAUGGAAAGCGUGAUCACACAGUCGUCCGGAGCACCUGAUGCUCUCAUGCAUGCAUCAGUGUUGCUUGCUUCGAAGCGAGCAUAAAAGGCAUUUAGCUCGUCUGGUAGGCUCACGUCUCUGGGUCGGCUCGCGGCUGUGUUUCCCUUUAUAGUCCGUAAUUGUUUGCAAGCCCUGCUACAUCCAACGAGCUCAGACUGGUGUAGCAGGAUUCAAUCUUUGUCCUGUAUUGGCGCUUUGCCUGUUUGAUGGUUCGUCUGAGGGCAUAGCGGGAUUUCUUAUAAGUGUCCGGAUUAGUGUCCAGCUCCUUGAAAGUGCCAGGUCUAGCCUUUAGCUUGGUGUGGAUUUUGCCUGUAAUCCAUGGCUUUGGGUUGGGAUAUGUAUGUACGGUCACUGUUGGGACAUCGUUGAUGCACUUAUUGAUGAAGCCGGUGACUGAGGUGGUCUAGAGUUUUUUUCCCCCUCUGUUUACACAUGUGACUUGCUGGUAGAAAUGAGGUAAAAUGGAUUUAAGUGCCUGCAUUAAAGUUCCCGGCCAAUAGGAGCACCGCCUACGGAUGAGCAUUUUCCUGUUUGCUUAUGGCCUAAUACAGCUCGUUGAGUGCGCUCUUAGUGACAGCAUCUCAGUGCCAGUAUCAGUUUGUGGUGGUAAAUAGAUGGCUACGAAUAAUAUAGAGAACUCACUUGGUAGAUAGUGUGGUCUACAACUUAUCAUGAGAUACUCUACCUCAGGCGAGCAAUACCUCGAGACUUCUUUAUUAUUAGACAUCGUGCACCAGUUGUUAUUGACAAAUAGACACACACCCCCGCCCCUCGUCUUACCAAACGGAGCUGCUCUGUCCUGCCAAUGCACCAGCUCUAUAAUAUCCAUGUCGUCAUUCAGUCACAACUCGCUGAAACACAAGAUAUAACAGUUUUAAAUGUCCUGUUGGUAGGAUAGUCUCGAAUGUAGAUCAUCCAGUUUCUUUCCAGUGAUUGCACAUUGGCCAAUAGAACUGAUGGUAGUGGAGAUUUACUCACUUGCCUACGAAUCCUCACAAGGCACACAAACUGGGGUGGCAGGUAGCCUAGUGGUUAGUAACCGGAAUGUUGCAAGUUCAAACCCCCGAGCUGACAAGGUACAAAUCUGUCGUUCUGCAGUUAACCCACUGUUCCUAGGCCGUCAUUGAAAAUAAGAAUUUGUUCUUAACUGACUUGCCUAGUUAAAUAAAGGUUAAAAAAACUUUUUUUAAAGGCACACAGACUUUCGCCCCCUGUAUCUCUGUCUUUUCUUCACGCGAAUGACAGGGAUUUGGGCCUGGUCUCCGGGAAGCAGUAUAUCCUCCUCGUCGGACUCAUUAAAGAAAAAGUCUUUGUCCAGUUUGAGGUGAGUAAUCGCUGCUCUGAUGUCAAGAAGCUCUUUUUAGUUAUAAGAGAGAGUAGCAGCAACAUUAAGUUACAAAAAUUGCAAAAGAAAACACAAAAUAGCACAGUUGGUUAGGAGCCCGUAAAAUGGCACCAUUACAUUAAGUCAUAUUACAGUCCAGUAUACUAUACUUUAGCAUCCCCCCACCAGACCUCGACACCACCACACCAGAGGUGGAGCGGUCCAUUCACCCAUGCCUGCUCACAGUUGAGACCUUCCAGUCUGGUCCCCACCCACGUCUCUGACGCUGACCUGGAGCAGUGAGGCAAGUGGUUUGAUACAAUCUUGUUUUUCUGUCACCAAUAGAGCCUUGACCUCCUGGAAAAAAUUACUUAUCCUCUCUCUCUCCCUCACUCUCUCUCCUCCUUUCUCCUACUCUCCAUUCUUCUCCACUCCUCUCCCCAACUCUCCCCUCCUCUCUCCAUCCUUUUUGUGAUGAGUCAGUAUUUAACGGAUCGCUAGCUUGAAGAAAAAAUAUACUAUAUUUUUAUUUCCGAUAGUUCCAAACCACCUGUCAGUUUGUUACACUGACAUCACAAAGCUCUGUGACAGUGUCUGACUCCAUAAGUCUUCUAUCUGGUGACAUAGAUCACUGGACUGUGUAGUAGCUAACAGUGCCGCCCGUCAUGCUCUCGUGCCACAUUCAGCCUUAGGCCAAAUGACGUCAUCAUUACACAAUGUACUAAGUGGUCUAGUAAAUAGAUAUUAUUGACCAGUUAUAUAUAAUAUUGAUCCGCUUUUGGUAAUUUUGAUCAGUAAAAUAUAUCAUUGAUCAGUUAUAGGUAGUAUAUGCAAAACCUGGACCCAUACAAAUCAGCUGGGCUUGGCAAUUUGGACCCUCUAUUUCUGAAACUGUCCGCCGCCAUUGUCGCAACCCCUAUUACCAGCCUGUUCAACCUCUCCUUCGUAUCAUCUGAGAUCCCCAAGGAUUGGAAAGCUGCUGCAGUCAUCCCCCUCUUCAAAGGGAGAGACACCCUGGACCCAAGCUGUUUACAGACCUAUAUCCAUCCUGCCCUGCCUAUCGAAGGUCUUCGAAAUCCAAGUCAACAAACAGAUCACUGACCAUCUCGAAUCCCACCGUACCUUCUCCGCUGUGCAAUCUGGUUUCUGAGCCGGUCAUGGGUGCACGUCAGCCACGCUCAAGGUACUAAACGAUAUCAUAACCACCAUCGAUAAAAGACAGUACUGUGCAGCCGUCUUCAUCCACCUGGCCAAGGCUUUCUACUCUGUCAAUCACCAUAUUCUUAUCGGCAGACUCAGUAGCCUCGGUUUUUCUAAUGACUGCCUUGCCUGGUUCACCAACUACUUUGCAGAAAGAGUUCAGUGUGUCAAAUCGGAGGGCACGUUGUCCGGUCCUCUGGCAGUCUCUAUGGGGGUACCACAGGGUUCAAUUCUCGGGCCGACUCUUUUCUCUGUAUUUAUCAAUGAUGUUGCUCUUGCUGCGGGCGAUUCCCUGAUCCACCUCUAUGCAGACGACACCAUUCUGUAUAUAUCUGGCCCUUCCUUGGACAAUAUGCUAUCUAACCUCCAAACAAGCUUCAAUGCCAUACAACACUCCUUCCGUGGCCUCCAACUGCUCUUAAAUGCUAGUAAAACCAAAUGCAUGCUUUUCAACCGUUCGCUGCCUGCACCCACAUGCCCGACUAGCAUCACCACCCUGGAUGGUUCCGACCUAGAAUAUGUGGACAUCUAUAAGUACCUAGGUGUCUGGCUAGACUGCAAACUCUCCUUCCAAACUCAUAUCAAACAUCUCCAAUACACAAUCAAAUCUAGAGUCAGCUUUCUAUUUCACAACAAAUCCUCCUUCACUCACGCCGCAAAACUUACCCUAAUAAAACUGACUUUCCUACCGAUCCUCGACUUCAGUGAUGUCAUCUACAAAAUAGCUUCCAAUACUCUACUCAGCAAACUUGAUGCAGUUUAUCACAGUGCCAUCUGUUUUGUUACUAAAGCACCUUAUUCCACCCACCACUGCGACCUGUAUGCUCUAGUCGGCUGGCCCUCCCUACAUGUUCGUCGCCAGACCUACUGGCUCCAGAUCAUCUACAAGUAUAUGCUAAGUAAAGCUCCGCCUUAUCUCAGUUCACUGGUCACAAUGGUAACACCCACCCGUAGCACGCGCUCCAGCAGGUGUAUCUCACUGAUCAUCCCUAAAGCCAAAACCUUGUUGGCCACCUUUCCUUCCAGUUCUCUGCUACCUGCGACUGGAACGAAUUGCAAAAAUCUCUGAAGUUGGAGACUUUUUUCUCCCUCCCCAACUUUAAACAUCUGCUAUCUGAGCAGCUAACCGAUUGCUGCAGCUGUACAUAGUCCAUCGGUAUAUAGCCCACCCAAUUUACCUACAGAUAAUAUUGAUCAGUUAUAGACAAUAUUUAUUUAUUUUAUUUCACCUUUAUUUAACUAGGUAGGCUAGUUGAGAACAAGUUAUCAUUUACAACUGCGACCUGGCCAAGAUAAAGCACAGCAGUUCGACUGUCACGCCCUGACCUUAGAGAGAUGUUUUAUUUCUCUUUUUGGUUAGGUCAGGGUGUGAUGUGGGUGGGCAUUCUAUAUUUUGUUUGUCUAUGAUUUUGUAUUUCUAUGUUUUGGCCGGGUAUGGUUCUCAAUCAGGAACAGCUGUCUAUCGUUGUCUCUGAUUGGGAACCAUACUAAGGUAGCCCUUUUCUCUCCUUUCAGUGUGGGAAGUUAACUUUGUGGCACAUAGCCCUUAAGCUUCACGGUUGUUUUGUAUUGUUUAUUGUUUUUGUCGGCGUCACCUAAAUAAAAGGAAUAUGUAUGCUCACCAAACUGUGCUUUUGUCCUCUUCAUUCCACGGCCGUGACAUUGACACAUGCAACAACACAGAGUUACACAUGGAAUAAACAAACAUAGUCAAUAACACAGUAUAUUAUUGGUCAGUUAUAGGUCAAAUGUAUCAGUUAUAGAAAAUAUUGAUAAAUUAUAGAUAAUAUUGAUCAAUUAUAAAUAAUAUUGAUCAGUUAUACAUAAAAUUGAUCAGUUAUAGGUCAAAUUGAUCAGUUAUACAUAAUCUUGAUCAGUUUUGGAUAAUAUUGAUCAGUUAUAGGUCAAAUUGAUCAGUUAUAGAUAAUAUUGAUCCGUUUUAUUAUUUUAUAAUAAGAAAUUGGUUGAAUCAAUGUCGUUUCCAUGUCAUUUCAAUUAAAUCGGGAGGGAAGGAAAGGAAGUGAGAGAGAGGGAAAGAGAGAGGAAGUGAGAGAGAGGGAAAGAGAGGGAGAGGCCCCUUUAUUUGUCUAUCUAUGUCAAGGUGUGUCCUUGAGUCCAUCUGUGGGCUGGGGACAGCUCUAUGACCAGAAGGGGUGGAGGACAGGACAGGACGGCACUCAACUCUAAUGCACAUGUUCAUGCUUGUAUGUGUGUGUGCCUGUGUGCCUGUGCGUGUGUGCGUGUGUGCGUGUGUGCGUGUGUGCGCGUGUGCGCGCGUGUGCGCGCGUGUGUGUGUGUGACGGUAUUUAUGCCAGCUUGUAGUAAGAGCUUAGUUUGCACAUUAUUACAGCAUACCCAGCACAGUGUAGUUAUCAGUUAUCAGAGCCCAUGGGUAAACUAAAUACAUACGGUUGGUCUGAGGAGAAACUGAAUCGAGAAAUAUUUGCACAGAACCUGAAGUGUGGUUGGGUUGAUUUCAAGAAACCUAGCAGGACCAGCCUAGUGUUCACACACACACACACACACACACACACACACACACACACACACACACACACACACACACACACACACACACACACACACACACACACACACACACACACACACACACACACACACACACACACACACACACACACACACACACACACACGCACACACACAGACACACACACACACACACACACAAGGACAUCACCACUGUACAUUUUGCUGCUGGGAGCUGCUCACCUGUGUCUGACAUUCUCUUUAGAUACCGGUAGAUAUAUUUGUGGAACCAUAACACUACAGUUGAAGUCGGACGUUUACAUACACCUUAGCCAAAUCCAUUUAAAAUCAGUUUUUCACAAUUCCUGACAUUUAAUCAUAGUAAAAAUUCCCUGUUUUAGGUCAUUUAGGAUCACCACUUCAUGUUAAGAAUGUGAAAUGUCAGAAUAAUAGUAGAAAGAAUGAUUUAUUUCACCUUUUAUUUCUUUCAUCAAAUUCUCAGUGGGCCAGAACUUUACAUACACUCAAUUAGUACUUGGUAGCAUUGCCUUUAAAUUGUUUAACUUGGGUCAAACAUUUCGGGUAGCCUUCCACAAGCUUCCCAGAAUAAGUUGGGUGAAUUUUGGCCCGCUCCUCCUGACAGAGCUGGUGUAACUGAGUCAGGUUUGUAGGCCUCCUUGCUCACACAUGCUUUUUCAGUUCUGCCCACAAAUUUUCUAUAUGAUUGAGGUCAGGGAUUUCUGAUGGCCACUCCAAUAUCUUGACUUUGUUGUCCUUAAGCCAUUUUGCCCAAACUUUGGAAGUAUGCUUGGGGUCAUUGUCCAUUUGGAAGACCCAUUUGCGACCAAGCUUUAACUUCCUGACUGAUGUCUUGAGAUGUUGCUUCAAUAUAUCCACGUAAUUUUCCUCCAUCAUGAUGCCAUCUAUUUUGUGAAGUGUACCAGUCACUCCUGCAGCAAAGCACCCCCACAACAUGAUGCUGCCACUUCCGUGCUUCACGGUUGGGAUGUGUUCUUUGGCUUGCAAGCUUCCCUCUUUUUUCUCCAGACAUAACAAUGGUCAAUAUGGCCGAACAGUUCUAUUUUUGUUUCAUCAGACUAUAGGGCAUUGCUCCAAAAAGUACGAUCUUCUCUCCAUGUGCAGUUGCAAACCGUAGUCUAGCUUUUUUUAUGGCAGUUUUGCAGCAGCGGCCUUUCAGGUUAUGUUGAUAUAGGACAUGUUUUACUGUGGGAUAUAGAUAAUUUAUACUGGUUUCCUCCAGCAUCUUCACAAGGUCCUUUGCUGUUGUUCUGCGAUUGACUUGCACUUUACGCACCAAAGAACAUUCAUCUCUAGGAGACAGAACGCGUCUUCUUCCUGAGCGGUAUGACGGUUGCGUGGUCCCAUGGUGUAAUACUUGAAUACUAUUGUUUGUACAGAUGAACCUGGUACCUUCAGGCUUUUGAAAAUUACUCCCAAGGAUGAACCAGACUUGUGGAGAUCUACAAUUUUUUAAUGAGGUCUUGGCUGAUUUCUUUUGAUUUUCCCAUGAUAUCAAGCUAAGAGGCACUGAGUUUGAAGGUAGGCCUUGAAAUACAUCCACAGGUACACCUCCAAUUGACUCAAAUUAUGUCAAUUAACCUAUCAGAAGCUUCUAAAGCCAUGCCAUCAUUUUCUGGAAUUUUCCAUGCUGUUUAAAGGCGCAGUCAACUUAAUGUAUGUAAACUUCUGACCCACUGGAAUUGUGAUCCAGUGAAUUAUAAGUGAAAUAAUCUGUCUGUAAACAAUUGUUGGAAAAAUUACUUGUGACAUGCAAAGUAGAUGUCAUAACCGACUUGCCAAAACUAUAGUUUGUUAAAACAAGAUAAUUUGUGGAGUGGUUGAAAAAUAAGUUUUAAUGACCAACCUAAGUGUAUGUAAACUUCUGACUUCAACUUUAUGUCAUACAGAAGUCUGACUGACUUUCUUGUGUUUACCCCAGGAUCCACCACUGGGGAUAAGAAGACUAAGUGUUGUCAUGACUGUCCUGACCAGGUCAGGUUACAAGAGACCACAACCCUACAGAUUAUCACUCACCCCCAACAGAGGAGGAGAGAUCUAGGGGUCUGAAGAUGUGGGGGUUUUAUGACCCCUCAUGCACAUGGUAAAUCUCAGGCCACAGACAACAUCUCUUUGUCCUGUUACUAUGGAGAACAAGCCUCAGAACAUUAAACAUGAAAUAAAGGGACUUUGGAACAAUGGUUUCCAUCAGCCAAAAUGGUGGUCAUGACGAUAGAUGGAAUAUGAAAAUGUAUGUCAUUUUUGUUUUGUUAUUAAAGGUUAAUAGAUGGCGUUAUUACGAAAACAUUGUAACGUGAAGAGUUUUCCUAGUAUAUGUUUGAUGUUUAUACAUUGUACGUUGUGUGGAAAAUGUCCAAAUCAAAGGGAAUGUUUUGGUAAAGGUGAAAUGUUAAGUUAGUUGUCUAAAAUUGGAUUUGAGUCAAAUCUAGACCUUGCCUCAUUAACUUGGUACGCCCAGAGAACUGCCCUACAGGCGGUUAUGCCCACUUCUGACCCAACCGCCUUUCUAAACCUGUGAGUAUAGAAUUUACAGAGAGGACUACGUGACCCAAGCUGCAGCCAAGGUCUAAAAAGUCAAUGAACCCAGAACGCAACACAAGUUUGAAGACAAAGAAAUCCUUUUCUACCCAAGCUACGGAUGAGUAGCUGUGUCUAAGCGGGUGAAUUCAAGCUUGACUCCCUUAGCAUCCAAUCCCAGCGAAUCGUGGUAUCUAAAAGGUUUCAUUCCUAUGCUGUGAGCUACAGAGCUGUAUGUCAUCAGAAGACCCCUUCCAUAGCAAGGGCGAGGGACUCCUAAGCCAAAAGGACACUAACAUCGGGAGGACGAUCAGAGAGGUGCGCAGGAGAAGUGCGUCAUCGAGCAGCUGAACGGUCCCCUGAACGUCCACGCAGAGAAUCCUCGGAGGUCUACCCCACAUAAUUACAUCAUUAUAUUUGGGGCAAGGCGAGGGUUAGAAUAGCAUAGCUGACAAAUUCACCCAAAUGUAUAUUUCUCUCAUGUACUUUCUUUUUCCUCUCUCUCUUUGAAAUCCCCAUUUUGGGUAACAUGCGCCAUAGUGUGUUGGCCCAUUAUACUAAGUUCUAAUCAAUAGCCUAUAAUGUGUUUCGUCUAUGUGUAUCUUUUAUCAUCAUUUUAGCUUUUUAGUAAAUAAAUAUUCAACUAAGA